GCGGGGGGCGGUCCGCACUGGGUGCCGCCAACUUGCGGCACCCGGCACCCCUCCAGAGACGGACAGUAAUGUCCGCCGCUGGAGGAGCAGGCUCGCAAGGGAGCGGUAUCGGAGGUCUUUGACAGACCUCCGGUUCCCUUGAGUGAUUUUAAGCCGGGUUCAACCCGGCUUAAAAUCACUCAAGGGAGCCGGAGGUCUGUUAAAGACCUCCGAUACCGCUCCCUUGUGAUCCACGCGGCAACAGCUGCUCUGCGCCCACCGCUGUCCGUGCCCUCUGACCCGGAAGAAGACAGAGAAGACAGAAGAACUGAAGAAGAGGAAAAGAA